UGCGUAGGCGGCCGUUUAAGUAGGGUGUGAAAUGCCAGAGCUCAACUUUGGCAUUGCGCUCUAGACUGAAUGGCUUGAGUGAGAUAGGGGUGUGCGGAACUUCCAGUGGAGCGGUGAAAUGUGUUGAUAUUGGAAGGAACGCCGGUGGCGAAAGCGGCACACUGGGUCUUAACUGACGCUGAGGCAAGACCACGGGAGGCGAC
rnacentral:rRNA from 1 species